rnacentral:rRNA from 1 species
UUAAGCGACUAAGCGUACACGGUGGAUGCCCUGGCAGUCAGAGGCGAUGAAGGACGUGCUAAUCUGCGAUAAGCGUCGGUAAGGUGAUAUGAACCGUUAUAACCGGCGAUUUCCGAAUGGGGAAACCCAGUGUGUUUCGACACACUAUCAUUAACUGAAUCCAUAGGUUAAUGAGGCGAACCGGGGGAACUGAAACAUCUAAGUACCCCGAGGAAAAAGAAAUCAAACCGAGAUUCCCCCAGUAGCGGCGAGCGAACGGGGAGCAGCCCAGAGCCUGAAUCAGUAUGUGUGUUAGUGGAAGCGUCUGGAAAGGCGCGCGAUACAGGGUGACAGCCCCGUACACAAAAAUAGCACAUGCUGUGAGCUCGAUGAGUAGGGCGGGACACGUGGUAUCCUGUCUGAAUAUGGGGGGACCAUCCUCCAAGGCUAAAUACUCCUGACUGACCGAUAGUGAACCAGUACCGUGAGGGAAAGGCGAAAAGAACCCCGGCGAGGGGAGUGAAAAAGAACCUGAAACCGUGUACGUACAAGCAGUGGGAGCACGAGCAAUCUGUGUGACUGCGUACCUUUUGUAUAAUGGGUCAGCGACUUAUAUUCUGUAGCAAGGUUAACCGAAUAGGGGAGCCGAAGGGAAACCGAGUCUUAACUGGGCGUUAAGUUGCAGGGUAUAGACCCGAAACCCGGUGAUCUAGCCAUGGGCAGGUUGAAGGUUGGGUAACACUAACUGGAGGACCGAACCGACUAAUGUUGAAAAAUUAGCGGAUGACUUGUGGCUGGGGGGUGAAAGGCCAAUCAAACCGGGAGAUAGCUGGUUCUCCCCGAAAGCUAUUUAGGUAGCGCCUCGUGAAUUCAUCUCCGGAGGUAGAGCACUGUUUCGGCAAGGGGGUCAUCCCGACUUACCAACCCGAUGCAAACUGCGAAUACCGGAGAAUGUUAUCACGGGAGACACACGGCGGGUGCUAACGUCCGUCGUGAAGAGGGAAACAACCCAGACCGCCAGCUAAGGUCCCAAAGUCAUGGUUAAGUGGGAAACGAUGUGGGAAGGCCCAGACAGCCAGGAUGUUGGCUUAGAAGCAGCCAUCAUUUAAGAAAGCGUAAUAGCUCACUGGUCGAGUCGGCCUGCGCGGAAGAUGUAACGGGGCUAAACCAUGCACCGAAGCUGCGGCAGCGACGCUUAUGCGUUGUUGGGUAGGGGAGCGUUCUGUAAGCCUGCGAAGGUGUGCUGUGAGGCAUGCUGGAGGUAUCAGAAGUGCGAAUGCUGACAUAAGUAACGAUAAAGCGGGUGAAAAGCCCGCUCGCCGGAAGACCAAGGGUUCCUGUCCAACGUUAAUCGGGGCAGGGUGAGUCGCCCCCUAAGGCGAGGCCGAAAGGCGUAGUCGAUGGGAAACAGGUUAAUAUUCCUGUACUUGGUGUUACUGCGGAGGGGGGACGGAGAAGGCUAUGUUGGCCGGGCGACGGUUGUCCCGGUUUAAGCGUGUAGGCUGGUUUUCCAGGCAAAUCCGGAAAAUCAAGGCUGAGGCGUGAUGACGAGGCACUACGGUGCUGAAGCAACAAAUGCCCUGCUUCCAGGAAAAGCCUCUAAGCAUCAGGUAACAUCAAAUCGUACCCCAAACCGACACAGGUGGUCAGGUAGAGAAUACCAAGGCGCUUGAGAGAACUCGGGUGAAGGAACUAGGCAAAAAUGGUGCCGUAACUUCGGGAGAAGGCACGCUGAUAUGUAGGUGAAGUCCCUCGCGGAUGGAGCUGAAAUCAGUCGAAGAUACCAGCUGGCUGCAACUGUUUAUUAAAAACACAGCACUGUGCAAACACGAAAGUGGACGUAUACGGUGUGACGCCUGCCCGGUGCCGGAAGGUUAAUUGAUGGGGUCAGCGCAAGCGAAGCUCUUGAUCGAAGCCCCGGUUAAACGGCGGCCGUAACUAUAACGGUCCUAAGGUAGCGAAAUUCCUUGUCGGGUAAGUUCCGACCUGCACGAAUGGCGUAAUGAUGGCCAGGCUGUCUCCACCCGAGACUCAGUGAAAUUGAACUCGCUGUGAAGAUGCAGUGUACCCGCGGCAAGACGGAAAGACCCCGUGAACCUUUACUAUAGCUUGACACUGAACAUUGAGCCUUGAUGUGUAGGAUAGGUGGGAGGCUUUGAAGUGUGGACGCCAGUCUGCAUGGAGCCGACCUUGAAAUACCACCCUUUAAUGUUUGAUGUUCUAACGUUGACCCGUAAUCCGGGUUGCGGACAGUGUCUGGUGGGUAGUUUGACUGGGGCGGUCUCCUCCUAAAGAGUAACGGAGGAGCACGAAGGUUGGCUAAUCCUGGUCGGACAUCAGGAGGUUAGUGCAAUGGCAUAAGCCAGCUUGACUGCGAGCGUGACGGCGCGAGCAGGUGCGAAAGCAGGUCAUAGUGAUCCGGUGGUUCUGAAUGGAAGGGCCAUCGCUCAACGGAUAAAAGGUACUCCGGGGAUAACAGGCUGAUACCGCCCAAGAGUUCAUAUCGACGGCGGUGUUUGGCACCUCGAUGUCGGCUCAUCACAUCCUGGGGCUGAAGUAGGUCCCAAGGGUAUGGCUGUUCGCCAUUUAAAGUGGUACGCGAGCUGGGUUUAGAACGUCGUGAGACAGUUCGGUCCCUAUCUGCCGUGGGCGCUGGAGAACUGAGGGGGGCUGCUCCUAGUACGAGAGGACCGGAGUGGACGCAUCACUGGUGUUCGGGUUGUCAUGCCAAUGGCACUGCCCGGUAGCUAAAUGCGGAAGAGAUAAGUGCUGAAAGCAUCUAGGCACGAAACUUGCCCCGAGAUGAGUUCUCCCUGACUCCUUGAGAGUCCUGAAGGAACGUUGAAGACGACGACGUUGAUAGGCCGGGUGUGUAAGCGCAGCGAUGCGUUGAGCUAACCGGUACUAAUGAACCGUGAGGCUUAACCUU